UACUCCUACGGGAGGCAGCAGUAGGGAAUCUUCCGCAAUGGACGAAAGUCUGACGGAGCAACGCCGCGUGAACGAUGAAGGCCUUCGGGUCGUAAAGUUCUGUUGUUAGGGAAGAACAAGUACCAGAGUAACUGCUGGUACCUUGACGGUACCUAACCAGAAAGCCACGGCUAACUACGUGCCAGCAGCCGCGGUAAUAC
rnacentral:rRNA from 1 species